UGAGCAAUCUGCCCUUCUCUUCGGAAUAAGCGUUGGAAACGACGUCUAAUGCCGAAUACGACCUCCUUUCGCAUGAUCGGAGGUGGAAAGCUCCGGCGGAGAAGGAUGAGCUCGCGGCCUAUCAGCUAGUUGGUGUGGGUAAUGGCUCACCAAGGCAACGACGGGUAGCUGGUCUGAGAGGAUGGCCAGCCACAUUGGGACUGAGACACGGCCCAGAUCCGUAACGGG
rnacentral:rRNA from 1 species